rnacentral:rRNA from 1 species
AAUAGAUACCCAGGUAGUCCACCCCGUAAACGUUGGGAACUAGUUGUGGGUCCUUUCCACGGAUUCCGUGACGCAGCUAACGCAUUAAGUUCCCCGCCUGGGGAGUACGGCCGCAAGGCUAAAACUCAAAGGAAUUGACGGGGACCCGCACAAGCGGCGGAGCAUGCGGAUUAAUUCGAUGCAACGCGAAGAACCUUACCAAGGCUUGACAUACACCAGAACACCCUAGAAAUAGGGGACUCUUUGGACACUGGUGAACAGGUGGUGCAUGGUUGUCGUCAGCUCGUGUCGUGAGAUGUUGGGUUAAGUCCCGCAACGAGCGUAACCCUCGUUCUAUGUUGCCAGCACGUAAUGGUGGGAACUCAUGGGAUACUGCCGGGGUCAACUCGGAGGAAGGUGGGGAUGACGUCAAAUCAUCAUGCCCCUUAUGUCUUGGGCUUCACGCAUGCUACAAUGGCCGGUACAAAGGGCUGCAAUACCGUGAGGUGGAGCGAAUCCCAAAAAGCGGUCCAGUUCGGAUUGAGGUCUGCAACUCGACCUCAUGGAACG